GAUGAACGCUGGCGGCGUGCCCAAUACAUGCAAGUCGAGCGAAUGGAUUAAGAGCUUGCUCUUAUGAAGUUAGCGGCGGACGGGUGAGUAACACGUGGGUAACCUGCCCAUAAGACUGGGAUAACUCCGGGAAACCGGGGCUAAUACCGGAUAACAUUUUGAACCGCAUGGUUCGAAAUUGAAAGGCGGCUUCGGCUGUCACUUAUGGAUGGACCCGCGUCGCAUUAGCUAGUUGGUGAGGUAACGGCUCACCAAGGCAACGAUGCGUAGCCCACCUGGGAGGGUGAUCGGCCACACUGGGACUGAGACACGGCCCAGACUCCUACGGGAGGCAGCAGUAGGGAAUCUUCCGCAAUGGACGAAAGUCUGACGGAGCAACGCCGCGUGAGUGAUGAAGGCUUUCGGGUCGUAAAACUCUGUUGUUAGGGAAGAACAAGUGCUAGUUGAAUAAGCUGGCACCUUGACGGUACCUAACCAGAAAGCCACGGCUAACUACGUGCCAGCCGCCGCAGUAA
rnacentral:rRNA from 1 species